CCCACAUGAAAUGAUCCCCCUUAAAGGGGGCUCAAUAUGUCUCAAUCUGCACUUCAGUUCACUCAAAGCAUUUGGGUACAGGGGACAGACUCCAGAGAAGCAUAAAUUAAAGGACAAGUCACCGAAGAGCGACUUUAUCAACACGUCAUGGCGAAGACUGGAGUCAGCCACAGCAAGAUUUUGAAGUAUUGCGCAGAUGUCCUCCAAAAAAGACCAAUUAAUGGCGAAGGGUUCACUUUUUUGUUACCUUGAACCGGUGGUGAACCCCUGAUCAACGGGAGCGACUCAUACUGAUCCCAGCCAUGGGGUCAGGCACAGUGCGUCUCCGAGCAGAUAUGCAAAUGAGGAGAGCCCCCGUGGCGACCCUGCGGGAGCUCCGCCCCUGCCGGCGACAUCACCUUUGAUGAGGGUUCACAAGCAAGCCUCGCUAAUGACCCUUUAUUACUCUACCUUGCCAUCUCUUAAUUGCCAAGAUGUGUUGAGUGUAAUCAAUAGUGUAUGUGUGCCGCGGCAGGUCUCGGCUACGUCAUUCGCUCGCACAGACACACACGAAGAAUGGGGAAGAGGACAGACGUGCCUGGCUGGCCCACAAAUUAAAUGAAUGCCAUUUAAAGAGGUGGCCAUUGAUUAAAUGUCAUCUUUCAAUAAAGAGAGCAAUGUCUACCUCG
rnacentral:lncRNA from 1 species